rnacentral:ncRNA from 1 species
CAAAGAUAAAAACGCAACGUUCGUCAAACGGCGAGCCAGAGCCGGUAGGUAGCCCGGCCGUCCUGUUUAAACAGGGUAAGUAACCUGCCCCUCCGGGUUGUCCGUUCUUUGUCUGU